AUGUCAAAUUUGAGGGUAAUAGGUCUUAUUGUAACCCCAAAUUGCACAAAAUCCUAAGAAUAUGACCAUUUUCAAAUGCGAAACUGCGGGGUCAUGACCUCAUGUUGUUGUUGUGUUCUUUGUUACUCAGGAAGGACAAACACAGUAGGCAUAUUGUAUUUUGGGUUCUUUUUAAGCUGGAAUUGCUAGUAGGGUCACGCUGUGAAUUAUUGUGCAAAAACCACCUGGUAACAAGGUUCGUUGUUUUCUGAAUUGAGCGUGGUGGAGAUCAAGAAGGUGUCCGCGGCUCCGAGAGAGUGUGUGUCUACCGUUGUCUGCUACCUUAAGUGACCGACAACGGACGAUUCUGAUUGGUACAUCAACGCUGGUGGGUACUGAGCAGACGGGAUGCCUGCAACACGUUCUGUGAAGUGAACGUGGAACAAAAGGGAAAAAAUAAACUCAAAGCAACCAAAUAAGAACAACAAAAAUAAUAACUAUGGAAAAAAAAAUACAAACAAAAAAUAAGACAAGAUCACCAUACAUCCCAGCAUAAAACCCAUGACCAGAAUAAAGCCCCAAUUAAGAAUGUAAAAAGGGUCCAAUAGCCAGACCUGUACAAGUAGAAGAAAAAGGCCUGAAGAAGCUUGAAACACUAAAUGUAAUAGCAUCUACUUAGAUGCAUAACUUGCAAAGUCAUUAUAAAGUUUUUCUGCAUAUUCAUGUAAAAGACAAAAUAAUUAGCUGACUAAAAUAAAACACUCCCUUAGAAACUUUUUAGUACUUACAUGCAUUUUUUUUUUAAAACUGUUAAUCCAAAACACACCAUAAAAUCUGUAUGACUGAAGUGAUUCAAAAUAAGUAAAUAAAAUUAACAA